rnacentral:lncRNA from 1 species
AUGACUUGGAAAUGUUGCUCUGGGAUAUAUUUGACACAAAAUAUAUUCCUAGUCCUGGCAUUUUAUUUCAGCCUGUGCACAGCAACAGGUCUCAGGAGGUUGGUGCUCGGCGUGAAGGACCCGGCAGUGAUCAGGGAGAAGCUGCCAGAGGCCAAACCCCCCUCACUGGGAUUUGUGGCAGUGUCAGAGGAGAACUGCGGGUCUGGAACAGGCACAGGGACAGCCCUGGGUGACAGAUUUCAGCCCUGGUCCCCUGUCCUUGGGGAAAGCACCGUGGAUGGGUUGGUCCCACAGCCCCUCAACCCCUCACUGGUGCUUGGCCCAAAGUCCCCCAUGACACAAAGGGCAGAGGCAUCGCUGUCCCUCCGGCACCAGGGUGACAGUGGGGACCCUCCCCAGCCUCCCCCUGCUGCAGCUCCUGAUGCUGAAGGAUCUUCUCCCCUUCCAGACCGGCACAUCUCCAUCAGUGCCAGAGCCCAGGGUCCCCAGCACAGGAGGAGCAGAACUUGGGACCCUUCUGCAGCCUCCCUGUGGGCACUGACAGGUCUGGUGGCACCUGACACUGGGGACACUGGGAAUCCUGGAGGGACCCCCUCAUUCCUUGGCCCCAGGGGGCUGCCCAGACCCACUCAGAACACGAGGACUGAGUGCAAGAGGCCACUGAACUCCAGGAUCACCUCUGGGACAGAUGUCCUGUCCUGGCUGCACAACAUUGUGUCAGGAAAACGAAGCCAAAGACAGAUCACGUCAAAGAGGCGACCCAGGCAGAAAUGAGUCGUGAAUCACAAAUUGUUUCUCCCUUAGUAACACUUGAGGAAAGGUCAAGGAUGUUCAAUUUACCCAGUUCUUGCACAACCAGGCAGGAGCGGGUGCACGUCAGUCCCUCACAUCGUGACAGGUGUGCUUGAGGUAAUUUCAGCAACUCUGGGAGGAACUUUUAAUCUUUCUGUGUUAUCCAAGCAAUGAAGAGGGUCUUUGUAUCAUAGAAAUUUUACAGAGAAAUAACAUUUACGUGAAUGAAUCCAGGCUUCUAAAACCUAUUUAGUUCCUCAGUUAGGAAAACUGAAUUUGUAUUAAUUUUGUUAUUAAUGUAUAUGCCAUAUAAACCAGUGUUUAAUGGUUCUUUACCUGUGAAAAAGGUAUUUUUAAUAUAAAUUAUCUCCAUCAUUUACAAAAAAACCCUUGGGUAUUCAAAACAGAACUGUCCCCUACAAGUUGUACAAGUAUAAAAUAACUUUUCAAUCCAAUCAAACUAAACAUUUAAUUAAUAACUCAUAAAAACCUCCAGCUGAGUGAAUUAGAGUUGAUUUCCAGAGAACUUCCAGGUCAUCCAGACAAACAUUUACUUUUCUUCAGCCAUCUUUGUGGAAAACUGUCCCUCUAAACCUGUAACUGAGCUGGAGAUGAAGCCUCUCUGUCAGGGAUGAAAAAAAGUUUUUUGCCUUUCCUGAGUGCAGGGUUUAGUGAGAAUUAAAUAAAAAGUGAUGGAAAAUGCA